CUAUCUAAAAGAAACAUAAGGUUCCCUCUCCCUUCUUACGUUAACCCUUUUCGUCCGACUCUCGCUCCCCACAUCGUUCCACCUGGUUUUCUUUUCCCUUGUUUUUUCCUCAAUCAAAAAACCGCAUUUGGUCUGUCAAGAAAGAAAAUCCACAACCCGGCCCGCUCCUCAAGUCAUCAUCUGCUGCCCCAGUCGCAUGCCCGUAAGGGUUUCCAUGCCUCCAGAGCGGCGGCGGCGGCUGGUAACACUUUCGCCAAGGCGUCGGCCACUGCGCUCCCCUGCGGCGGGCUCGAGGGGAUCUGUGCCAGGCGCGUGCUGCGGAGGAAGCAGCUGCCCUCGGCAACGGCGGCGUGGACGUCAGAGUUCUCCGCCCCUCUUAUGCCAUCAGACCAGCAGCUACACCGGAUCAGGCCGCUCGAGGUGGACGGGGUUGGAACCGAGGUGUACUCCCUGACCAGCGCUCCUACCUCAGCAUGACGGCGUCGCUCCUCCAACUUCCCUCACUGAUUAUAGUCUUCAAAAUUUUGGCUCGUACUACCACCACCUUCUGUACGCAGAUGUAUAGGUAAAUGUGAGUCGGCCUUCAAACUCGCCAAAAACCGAUAUGCCAAAAUUGUACAAAGUUAUCUCCUGAAGUUAUAUCGAAGUGACUUCUAUGAGGUUCUGAAAAAUGAAAUGCGGUAAAAAGUAAAGCCCAGUUGCAGCAACACGUUUAGACUGCAAUGAAGAGGAGCCAUUGUUGAUCAGGCUGCAAGGUCAAUAAACAAUGUUAGUCCAUAAUGUUGCUUAAUAUGGAUGAGAAUCGUAAAAGAUAUAUUUUCAUGGAUUGAUAAUGCACCUCUA